rnacentral:rRNA from 1 species
UACGUAGGGGGCAAGCGUUGUCCGGAAUCAUUGGGCGUAAAGCGCGUGUAGGCGGCUCGGUAAGUCUGCUGUGAAAGUCCAGGGCUCAACCCUCGGAUGCCGAUCGAUACUGCCGGGCUAGAGUCCGGAAGAGGCGAGUGGAAUUCCUGGUGUAGCGGUGAAAUGCGCAGAUAUCAGGAGGAACACCAAUGGCGAAGGCAGCUCGCUGGGACGGUACUGACGCUGAGGCGCGAAAGCGUGGGGAGCAAACAGG